UUCAGAAAAUCUCUGAAGAAAGAAGAAAGGAAAAAAAUAACGUGAUGUAUUUUAUAAGAUUUUUUCAGAUCUGGAGAUAUUGGUAUGAACAAAGACCUUUCCUUCUUUGACUAUUAUUGUGCAUUAUACUUAAGUCCUGGAAACAAUGCUUUGUAAUUUUUGUAAUGUGGCAUUCACUGACUAACCGCAGAUUCCUUUUAUUAUCUUGCUUUAAACCCAGUAAAUAUUCGUCAGGGAUGUUUAAGCAAAGCAAAUAAAAUAGAGUUUGCUAUAUACUGUAAAUUUAAUUAACUGAAAUAAGAACAUUAGGUCCACUUUUCCAAAAGAUACAUUAGCUCAGGAAUGGACAGUGGAAUAUACACUUCAUCACCUGUUGACUACUGGCUUAAUGAACUAUACUGUCAGGACAGCUGUCCUCUGGAGAGCUCUUGCUUCUCAAUCUUUUUAUUUUUCUAGUUUCCAAGAAAAGGCAGAGAACACAUAUUCCCACAAAGAGGUGCGUUUUCAGCAGUUAAAUAACAGAAGCUUCAGUUCAGCGUUCCACUCCCGUUCAGCAAAGUACUCAAUAGUGUAUUUAACUUUAUUUCUAUGGAAUACAUUUAAAGGUCUUGAUGGGAGGGUUUUGUAAAAGGUGGAACAGUGUGAAUAUAAAAAAUGUUCUCUUUUCCUGAAUUAUGCUAGUUUUUACCUCUGCCAGGGAAGUUAAUAAUAAUAGAUGUAAAUAUGAAAGAGGAUCUAAUUAAGUGCCUGGAUUUGAACUAAUAUUGCAACAUAGAUAUAUUCCAUGAUAUAGUUAUAGGCUACUUCAUAAAUUCCAUUUGUUUCAAUUAUAAUCAGGCAAAUGCUCUUAAAGUUUAGCUUGCAACUGAAGUAACAGAACUGAUUAAUGGCUGUUAUUGUUAAUUUCCAUAAUGAGUGGAGAAUAGGGUCCUGAAAUGUCAUACUGACGUAGUCUGAAAAAAGAUUUUUUUUAAAUGCUAAAAAAGAAACAUAAGCAUCUCAGUAAAAGUCAAGUAUUUAAUCACCUAAACUGCAGAACGUGAAAAGAACAUAUGUGGUCUGUUGUCAUUUCCUAGAUUUGCUUUAAAAGAUCACUUUUGAUACUUAUUUGACAAGGCCAUGAUUAUUCCUCUUUUAAAUGUAGUUUUGCUUCUGCAAGUUAAAAUUAGCUAACACAGAACUCAUGCAAUAUAAAGUUAAAGGGGUCCUAAAAGUAUGAAUUUUUCUUCACUAUAAGUAUACAGAGGGCAAUUUGGAAAAGGCCAUAAAUAGAAUCCAAACCAGUAUAUUUGGAGAGGUUUGCCAAAAUCUAAUGCAAUAGACUAGUUCAUUCUUUUAAGACAACCAUUUGUAUUUUUUAAGAUGGCUAGAGAAGGAGGGAAAACGUGGUCCUAUGAGAAAAUGAAGAGUAAAAGCUGUGACUGGUAUGAUACAUGGAAUGAAGAAAUUGCAAGUUGCUUAAUGGGAACAUUUUGGGGGUUAAACUGAAUGCAAUUAAAGAAAUACCUCAUCUAUCAUCAUCUUUUUUUUUUUUUUCUAAAAUAAACAACCCUCAAAGUUCUGAAUAUUGGCAAAGCUUUAAGGCCAAGAGUGUAACUACUAAUAUCUUACCUUUGGGCAACCCAUUUAAAUCUUUCUCUGACAGCAUACCUUUUUUAUACCGAUUGUUCCUGGUUUUAUUUGGUUUUUCAUUAGCAGAUUUUAUUACAUUUUAUCACUCUGAAUGGAAUGAACAUAAUUAGUUUUGAUAAAGAACAUACUGGAACUUUUGGUCAGUGCUGUUUAUCUUUACCAAAUUGCUUAGGUUCUCAACAAUCGCUCAGCAAUCUCAUAGCCAGACUUAUUUCUAAUAUACUGUAAUAAUUGCUCUCUUAUUUUUAUGUGGAUAGCUAUUGAGGAUUUGAAAAUUACAGUUAUGUCAUCCCCAUUCUGCUGUGGCAACAGAAGAAAAUGUCCACAGUAGACAUAGGGAUGAAAUAAAAGUUCACCUCCACAAUGAAGGGUCUGUAGAAGCACAGACGGUGCACGCUGCCGUGGCCUUUAGCUGGUUGACUUCAAGAAUUUGCAACCUUACGACUUCUGCCUUUAAACACAUUUUCUUUGAGAUUUUUACUGCCACUAGAUUUUUGCCUUCUCUUUGAAAGGACUAGGCUAAAUGAUUAAUUUUGCUUUCUACAUCGGAUGUGAAAUAUUGCUUGGAAACCCCCCAGUGUUGAAAGGCAGCACAACAAGAUCAGGAAGUGCCUGAUUUGUGUCAGCUGCCGCUGGGCAUCCGUGGAGGAGGAACACACUGUACUGGUGCCAGUACCACCACUCUGCCUACAGGUCUAGCUACCAAGCCAUUACAAUGCAAGUGAUUAAACUUUUUAGCCUGUGAGUAUGCCAGGCCCCAAUAGUAACACCCUGGUAAAGAGCAAAUCUAGACCAAACAGUGUAUUUUAAGGUUAUUUCCUUCCAAUCACUUUCUUACUUCUGUGCACUUACUAAACUUGUGGGAUGGUUCUGUUAAAACCAGUAGAAGUUUUUCUCUGUUACAGAUUCAACAGGGUGAGAACUCACCAAUACCUGUUUCCUUCUCUUCUGUUUCAUCCGUGCCAGCAAAGAGCAGCAUGAGGAUUUGUACUACAAAACAGUCCUUUAGGUCCAGCUAAAAUCGUACUGUCUUUCUUAUGUUAGUCACUGUUGUUCCUCAGAGGAGCACAGGAAAGCAUUUUAUACAAUCAAAUCCUAAAUUCAGCUACAGAAUCCAUAAAUGAAUGAUAACUUUCCACCUGUUCUCAUAGCCCUGUCUGGUUAUACGGGAGACUUGUAAAUGUAGUGUCUUGUUAAAGACACAAGCUUGCUGGGUUGCAGUUUCCUAUACUUCUUUUUAAUUCCCAUUUCAUUACACAAACCUAGUAACUUCUGUUUGACUAGGAGAUAACCGUUAUUGGCUAAACUUCAAAAAAGCAUACAGUUCUGAUUUGAAGGCAGCAAAAUAUGAAGUGUAUACUACUUUCCAUUGGAAGUAAUUAACAAGUAGUAAGUAAUAACCAUUAACAAUGGUUAAUAUCUAAGUUAAUAAUAUAUAUACCUUAUUUCUACUUUAAAUUUUGUCUAACUACAAAUUACAAACUUAUGAUGCCUUUCCUUCCUAGACUAAAGAGUCCUUUGGCACCUGGUGUUUUCUUCUUAUGAUUGCACUUUCAUAUUCCAAUCUUUUUUUUAGAGGUUGAACAGAUGGAGUCCUUAGGGUCUAUCAUUGUAUGGCACUUUCUCCAAUUCCUGAGUCAGAGCUGUGGCUGUUUUGCAUACCUUCUCCAGUUUCUCAGUAGACUAUGAAAAAUGUGGACAUUGGGAAUGGAUGCAGUGUUCUGGGAUUAGUUUCACUUGAGCCAUAUAACAGAAGAAAUAUCAUCCCCUCAGAAUUGAGGAGUCCCUACUCCUCUGCCUCUGAUGAAUUGCAUGUCGUCUGUGACUCCUAAAUUGAUUCAAGGGUUUUCACCACCCAACCAACCUGCUGCAGGGUGCACCUUCAUUCUGAGUUAGACACAUUCCAUGUAUAACUCCAUAGGUUUCAAACACAUUUUGAGUAGGCUAAAUUUACCAUGUAAUCUAUGUCACUUUGCAGUUGCCUUUUUAUAUACCAUUUCAACAUUCUUUGGUCACCUGAAAAUUUUGCGUGCAGUCAUUUUCUAAUUAAUUCCAAAUAAUGCAAGGAAAUUUUGCAGGGACGGGACCUAAUACUACUUCCUGUGAAAGCACCCGCUUUUGACAACAGUUUCUCAUUGGCAGCUACAUUCAAGGCAUACCAGUUAGCCAGUGCUAAUUCAAUUCAGUGUAUGCUCAGCUUGUACUGAGUUAUUUUAACCUGUUGACUGCUUGGUUCAAGUAGCAAAACAGUUUGGCGUUCAGGAGACUUGCAAGCCUAAACCUGGUGUGGUGGCUGGUAGCCGUAGCGUUCAAGCUCUCUGCCCUGCAGGCAGCACUGAACCUAGAGCAUCCCCUACUGCUUGAAUCUCGGGAUGACAUGCCAAGGCCAGGAGCCCGGGGAGCAAAGUGGCCCUUUAGUUUGGUGUUUACUCUGCUGUUCUGCAAGAGGCAAUCUCUUACCCCUUAGGUGUUGUUUACUCUUGUACAGAAAAAAAAGAAAGCGAAAUCUUGUUUGAAACUGCCCUAAAAGAAGGACUUUGAUGUUUUCUCACAGCAAUUCCAUUCUUUGUCUCAACUUCUACACCAAUUUUCUAAAAGCUCUCUGUGCAAAACAUAAGAUGAAAACUCUAUUAAAUAAAGAGGAUAUAAAAUAAACUAUCCUAGUUAUACUUUAUAUCCCAAAACAUACUAACAGCAACCAUGCCUAUAAUGUCGAAUUAAGGGAAAAUAUGGAGGUCCUUCUCUAAGGAGUAAAACUUCAAGUUACUUUUUCACAUUUCAUGAUUCCAGAGGGUAGUCGCUGUUUAAGUCAGAGCUGUUUAAAUCAGUAAUUCAGAUGUAGCCUUCUGGGUAGCAUACAUAACUGGAGAGUUUUGGUGGCUGCAUUUACCCAACAGGACACAUUAUAGAUCAUGUAGGUGAGUAAUUAAUGCUAUAAAAUAGCUACUCCAUUUCCAUCACUAUGGACAAAUCCUUAUUCUGAUUUUCCUGAUUCUGAGUAUGACAGGUUGGUUUAUCAUUGCUAAAUGGUGAAAUUUGCUCCAUCUUACUGAAAUGCUACUGUGAUAUAUAUAGCUAAUUACUUUUCCAUUGUUCUCCUUCAGUGUGUGUACUGUUGUUUUUGAGUAGUUUCUGUACAUCUGCCAUCACAGUUUGCAGCGCAGGGCAUCAUUGCUAUCCCUAUUUUACAUAUAGAAACUCAGGCAUAGAUUGUUCCAAGGUCACAUAGGAAGUCAUGGGCAAAGGCUGGCAAAAACCCAAAUGUCCUGAAACUGAGUCUAAUGUUUAAACCAUAAGGACGACAUUCCUCAAACACUUAAUCUAGGGUGCUCUACUGGAAUUUUGUAGUAGCAGUGUGCAGUAGUACUAUGGUAGCCUGUUGAUUGCCUAAUUUAGCAGCUACAAGUUGAAUAUGGAGAGGAUGAGAAGAUGUGGAAUUUCUAAUCAUAUCUGAAGGGAUUAGGGAGGCUGUGGUCAAAUUCUAAAAUUGGAUACUACCUAUUACCAUGUUUUAGUUGGGAGGAGCUGGGGGAUGGGGGAAUACCAAGGUUAACAAUAAUUUGCAUCCUAAAAUCUUUUGUAGCAUCAAAUAAGAUGAGUAAUAGCUUAUCUACGAUAAUACCAAAUAUAGUUGUAGAACCCAUUGUCUUCUAAUUCCAGAAAGCUUUAUGACAGAAAUGAACUUCAUCUGUCACGGCCUACAGAUAUUAUUUUCCCAAAGAUCAUUAAUUUCAUUAUUUUUUCACCAAGUACUCACUGAAAACAUAAGUAAAAGUAGAGUAUUGCACUGCAAGGCUAUCAGUACUGCUGGGAAAGACUCAUGGCUUUAGCAACAGAAAUAGGGCAGGUCUGAGAGUUGCUAAUUACUGUUGUUUACAGGUCCACAUGGACUACUUACUGGCUCAAACAGGCAUUUCUUGAAUUGCUAGGUAGAUGUGACAGUAGUAAACCAAAAUUGCUAUUUAAUAUCAGUGAUAUUUUAGCUAUCUGCCAUUCAUUAUAAUUGUCUGUUAGGUUUCUCCUGCUUCAUUCAACCCUCAAUCCUGCAUUUGUUUCUAGAAUUUUACAAGCCUUAUUUGUCUUUUUCUUCACUUGCAAUCUUAAAUUAUUUUCAUUGUUUUCUAUGACACAGUGAUGGUGUUCAUAAAACCAGAGCUGCACUGAUUUUCUAAGCAUGUUAGUAUUUUAGCAAUGCAGAUAUUUCCUGAUCCAUAAUACGCAAUAGACAGGUUACCCUGUGCAACUAGAUGGAAGAUUAAAUCAGUGCUUUUGUUAGCCAGUGGAAGCCACAGGCUUUUGCUAAAUUAUCCAGAAUGCCUUUGCAUGACCAUCUGUUUCAAAUGGAAAUGAAUCUUUUUGGCUCUAAUUAUAAAUCUCUUAUUAUUUUUCUUUUCUUCUUUUCUAACCCAACCUGCCCUUUGGGAAAUUGCUUGAAAGCUCCCUGUAUUGUAUGAAAUUACAUGGAGUGGGAUUACAUGAAUGGCUGAUAGUGUGAUUUCAUUUUUUUAAUUAACCCUCCUAUUAAUAAUUUUAAGCCUACUUGUGCAGUGGCUGCAAGCUGAAGCAAAAAUCUGUGUUACAAAACUGUUUACAAAUUUGUUACAAGAUACUGUAUUAUAAAGCAGUCUAAGUACAAACAUGUUGAAACAUAUGGAAAAUCCACCCAAAUCUUGCCAAAUUGUUCCAACGUUUAAUUACCUGGAUCACAAAAAGUGUGCACCUUCUUUCUAGUCCUCAGAUUGUAAUUCUUUAUGUGAUGCAAGUAUGCAUAAAUUGAGACCAAACACAAAAAGCUUGUACUUCAGGUGCUGUUCUCCAACAAAGGAUUACGCAUCUCAGUAAGGAUUUGUUGUUAAACUGUUCUGUAGAUUUCUUUCCAAGAGGGAGUGAAGUCUUUCUUUUAAAUUAAAUGAAUGUGUGGGAGGAGGAGGAAGCGCAGAGCUCUGGGCUGGAGUGACGGGGUUUGUCCUCACUACUGGUAUGUUUCUCUUGGGAGAUCUUUGCUUUGAUCCCGUCAGGACCAGUAAGGGUAGCUUUCCUUUCCCUUCCUCUUGGUCGAGUGGCUUCUCUUUCAUUAAUGUUGCUGGCAGACCAUUCUGCAUUUGGUUUAUUCUAGCUGGGCUGGCUAACAUGCCUUUCUCAUCCAUCAUAUACUUUUCUGUUCCGCCUACCCAGUCUGAAUCAUAGUACUGUCUUAACUUGCAUCUUCUGUGGUGCAGAGUAACAGCUCCUUUUUAUGACCAAUAAAGAAAAGAAAAACAAACUGAGUUACACUUCUUGGCACAUUUUCCAACUCCACUAGAGAAUUUGGCCCUUGCUAGUCAGUAAGAAGACCUUGAGCAAGCAGAGGGAUUCUUUUUCCUGCCAAGCUGUCUUCUUGAGCACAGGCCAGCUUGUAGCAAUGCAACGUGGAGAUGAGUCAGUGAAAAGCGGAGUUAGGUAAAUGCUGUUAACCAAUGUUACAGAAAUUUCUGCAGAGUCUCCGGAGACAACGGCAUUUUUUUCUCCAACCAGAGAAGUGGGGAGAUACAUGAACACGCCUAAAUGAAAUCCUAGGGCACGUGCUGGUCUUCUCAUAACUUUUACCCCUUCGAUUUUCAGCUCUUACCCAUCUUCAUCAUCAGCUUUUCAUGCAUGUCAUCACAAUGCAGACCUACAUGUAGCACCAUUUAUGAAAAAGAAAUAGUUUAUUUCAUCCUCUUCUGAAAAGAAUUCCAGUUUAGAAAAGUGCUAGAUUAUCUUUUUAUCUUCUUGAAAGUAUUUUCUCUCCAGAAUGACCUGAGUAACUUUUAGCAAAACAUAGUUUACUCAAAUGAUCUCAUAAAAUUCUUAAAUUAAAAGCAAUAUUUUCUGGAAAUAAAAAUGAAAAGAAAUGAAAAUGAGAAAUAUUUCUUGUUUAGUAAAGCUAGCUUUUGCUCUCCAGAAACUGAUCCAGAUGAAGCAUACACAGGAGAGUUGCAUUAAAUAAAGAAGAUCUUUAAUUUUCAGGAGAGUCUUAGAUGUUAGCGAAUGUCUCCAUUCUUCCCUCUUGGUCAGUUAGACUGUACUCAUUAGGUCCAUUCUAAAUGUAAAUUUUGUACCAGGAUAAUUGUUGGUGUGACUUUGUAGUAAUGUGAUUUUAUACCAAUACAAUUAAACCAAUACAAUAUGACCAUGGUCACUGCUAUGUUGGUGUAAUGGGGUUUUGUAGUAACAUACCGGUAGUCUUUUCCCCUUUUCAUGCAGAAAAUGGAUAGAUAUACUAAUGCUGGCUUCUUUGGAGGCAUAAAUAUUCUUUUUGCCCUCAUAAGGAAAAUUGUCUUGCUUUUCAUUGUUCUUGGUACAAGGUAAAGAAUCCUUCCAGCACACUUUGAAAGUGCUUGACCAUCAUAACACUUGUCUAACACCUUCGAACUGUGUUGAUCUGCCUGCCUUAUCAUUUUACAAGGUGAUUCGUACAAGGCCUCUCUCUAAGUAAACCACCCAGAGCUCAGAUACCGUGUCCCAAAGUCUUUCAUCCUAACAUUGUUACCUCAGCACGGUUUUUAACUAUAUGCUUUCUCUUUACUAAGCAGUAGCACAGAAAGUGUAUCUAUGCUAAAGCAAAUGUUUGAUCCAGCUUUUAAAGGAGUCUUGAGAAGAUUUAGCUGUUAGCUUAUAGAAUGACAGAGGCAGUAUCUUCACACUCCUCCCAUCUCCUCCCCCCACCCUUUCUGCAUUAUAUUCAAUGAGUGAAAAUGAUUGACUAUGAUUCAUUCUUAUUCCCUCCCAAGCUGUGCUCUUCCCUUAAAAGUACAAUAUUUCUUUUCAUGUUCUCAGUGAAUUUUCACUACAUUUUCAUCCUCUUAGGAACAGCUGUAACUUCUUUCUCCUGUGUUUCCCAGAGAGAAGCUUAGAACAGAUCUAAAGUAUAGGUAUCUGAGGAACAUGAGAGAAGAGCUGAUAUUAUACCUGGAAUCAACUCUGUGAAUCUCUUAGAGAAUAACAUGUCAGCUCUUGGCAAAAGGAAGCCUGCUCUUAGAGCUGUUUAACUGGACCUUAAAGUUUCUGGGAUAUUAAAUGUAGAGUAAUAGAAUUAGAGAAGCAAGAGAUGGAUGAUAUCCUAAAAUUCUGUUCAUUUCCCUGCAAAUGAAGAAUGGCUCUUCCCACUUGGCCUCUGACAAAAAUAUGUUAGAUAUUGGACAGAUAUAACUGGCUUGUGUAAAGCAGGAAGGAUCUUGAUGUUUCAUGCAGUACUCAUGUAUGCUUGAAGGACAAACAACAAAGGCAUUCAUCUGGAUUUUUGCAGAUGAGUGUUUUAAAAGUAUUCUCUAUGAUGUCUUUGUAUACAUUCGGUACUAGGCAAUAAAAGAUAAGCCAAGAGACGUGCAGUCGUUAUCUUAUGAUGUUAAUGGUCUCUCAGCAAGAAGCAUAGUUUCAUUAAGCAAGCUGCUCUUGGAAUUUGGGCACCUUUGCUUUUCCAUUCAUAAAUCUACUGAAUCGAUGUAUUUUGAGUGUUUAUCACUAGCAUUAGGCCCUCUCUGUACAUAUACUCCUUAGGAAAUGAAGCUUUGAAUUUUUCUUUUGGUUUCCAGCUGCUCUGCUUUGGGAUGUGAAAAGUGUGCUCAGACUCAUUAAAUCUACAGGAUUUGGAAGUUGUUCUUGUGGUUACACCACAGACAAUAUUGCAUGCGAGACCCAAGUGCUGUAACACUUUGGCAUGAAGCACAGCGUAUGCAAGAGUUUAGCAGCACUUCCAGAACUGGCUCUAACACGUCUCCUGUUUUUCAGCUGCAGACUAAAAGGUGUUUUUUAAAAAAGUCAGAAGUUAAACAGAUGUCCUUGGAGAAGCUGAAGAUGGAAAUAUUUCUCAAAUGAGCAAUUUCACACACGCAGAGUGGAGGCUGCCUUGAGACAUCAAGUUGCAAUUUUCGGUAAAUAACAGAUAAAGUAGAAGCAACUUCUGUGCCACUCUUGAUGGAUGGCAGGAAAAAGCAGAAGGAAACAUUAGCUCUGCUUCUCUUUUGCUUUUGCACUGCUUUCAUCUACAGUGUGAAAUUCCAAGUUACUGUGAAAAAGCUGUCCAAGGAAUAUUCUUGGCAAUACUGCAAGCAGAAAGUACAGGAAACCUCACAAGAGAGUUUGUUCCAGCAACAUUGCCAUCCACGUUUCACAGCUGCAAGGACAUUCAAACCAAAUCUAAACACCAUCUUUUCCCAUAUACAGAACCUUGCUGAGGUAAAAGUAGCAGGACCAGAAAAGUUUAAUUAAAUUAUACCACAAUCAUGACCCCCUGUAUUAAAGGAAAAUUUUUCAUCAGUGACAAAAAUUUCACCAACUAAAAAGGAGCCAACAUAGUAAACCCAUUUACUGCAUGACACACUAGCCACCAAAGAGGAAAGCACAGGGAAAGACUGUUAAGGGCAAACACUUCCCUGCAAGUUUUUGUAGCCAUGUUUGGCAGCCAUUUGUAAGUGAAGAAGAGCUGGUACAGUAAUGAAUAUUGGAAAAAGGAGGGUAGUAUCAUCUUUCUCAUUUGUUUCAAGUGCUGUUUCAUAACAUACUUCUGUUCUAGUGUGCCAGUGACCUUUUUUAAGGACAUAUUUUUUAAUGUAAUUGAUCCUAGGUUAACUUUAUGAAAGCAUAUAUCAGUAAAGAAACAAGGUAUAUAGAUUUGGAGGGAGGAGGGGUGUUUAACCCUUCCAGUACUCUCAAGAAGGCCUGCUUUAGCUGCUAAGCUUUACUGCAUAGGUAUAUUGGCUUCAUCAGUGAAUGAAAUUAGUUCUAUCACUGUUAUAAAAUUCUAACUUUCAUAUUAAGCUCUUCGCCUCAUCUAAAAGGUCUGCAAGGUAAAAGGGGUCCUGACCACUCCCUUCUUCCCCUCUUUUUGGCCAAGAGAACAUUCCCUCAGUGAAGACACUAUGAAGAACAUACAAGGCUCUAUUGUAAGGACCUGCCUCCAAGCCCUACUGAGGAAGCCAAGCCAUGCUGACUUUGCCACUAAAAUAGGGAGGCCUUCACUGCUGAAAGAGUCAUUUCAGCUAAUUCAGAGAGACCAGUGUGCUUCAAGCUUAUCACUUUCACUGAGAAUGAAGACAGCUACAAAAUAAUUAUAGACCUGGUAGCUCACAAUGUAUUGACCCAGGAAGAUAGUCUCAUGUGGUGAGAUUGAGAAGGUGAUGAAAGAAGCAACACAGCUAGAGUCCUGUCUUCACGUUGUGAAGUAAAGAAGCAAUCUUCCAUCACAGAUGAACUUAUUCUUUUACAGAUGAUGGUGCUUUUUUACCCUUUGCAUUGCCUGCCUUUCUCCAAGACUAAUGCCACCUGCAGCAGCUUUACCAUGAUGACAUUUCUUAGAAGGUGUUAACACUGUCCAAUAUAUCUAGCUACAACCAGCUCUCUGUAUGUACUGCUGGUCAUGGCUUUUCCUGGUGUGUGACAAUCCAGGCUUUCUCAUUGGAGAACCGUCAAGAAUCUACUUCUCUGAAUGUUUAUGAACACAUGGUGGAACAGCUCCAGCAAGAGAUUGAGCAAGAGCUUCCCCGUGGAAAGAAAACAUGCCCUGGAUCAGGUUGCUCAGCCACGCCAUCUCAGCUCUUUAUGACUCACUGAGCUGCAGGGCUGUUUAGGACUGGAGCAGUGGUUUCCAAAGCGAGCACUGGGGGCUCUUGACCAGAAGGUGUUCAGAAGGGAGCUGUUCUAGCAGAAGACAUUAGGACACACCUGCCUGAAGUCUAGCAAUUAGACUGCCUUCAUCACUUGGAAAUGACAGAGUGGAAUCCUGCCUCUCUGCUUUAGGGGACGUGAAUCAAGGCUCCGAAUAGCGCUCCCCAGAAGUGUCUUUGAUUAGUCAUGGAGGGAAAGCAGGGAUGAUCUUGUCUCCAGAGGCAAAGGUCUUCACGUCCUUCAGAGCUGCUGAGGCCUCCAGUGUCUUGCAGCGUAACCAGUCCUACUUCCGCAGCUCCUGGUCUGGGUUUCUCAGGUUGGACCCCACGCUUUGGGACGACCAUCGG